rnacentral:misc_RNA from 1 species
CUUGCCCUUAUGGCCAUUUUCUACGCCGCUUCCACCGUUGGUGCCGCCGCCGCCGCCGCUGCCACUGGGAACAGGCGUCGGCGACGGUGUCUGCCCCGCUGGAGCAGGGGACGGGGGAACCUCACCAGGGCAAGGCCCCAAGGGUCCGCCGCACAAGCCCGUCCCCAGGAACGCGGAGCGCGGCUGCGACCGAAGUGAGGCCGGGAUGGAUCCGUUCAGUUGGUUGAACGAGACAUUGAACUGCUGCAGCGGCGGUAGCUUCACAUCGGAAAUCUCGCCGGAAAAGCGAUUAUUCUCAAGGAGCAGGACCCUGAGGUGUGUGAGGUUGCCGAGCUCCGUCGGAAUGGGCCCGGACAGGUCGUUCCCGCCGAGCGAGAGCCUGACGAGCCCCGGGAGAGCGAGAAUCGCCUGCGGGAACCCGCCCGACAGCCUGUUCCCGUUGAGGAAGACGUUACGAAGCGCGGCGGCGGAAGACAGGUCGGCUGGGAGCGCGCCGGAGAGCCCGUUGAGGCGGAGGCUGAGCGUGUGCAGCGCCGUAAGGUUCCCGAGCGUCCCCGCGGGGACUGUCCCCGAGAGCGUCGCCCCGGGAAGCCGCAGCACCGCCACGCGGCCGUGCUCGCAGGUGACCCCCGUCCACGAGCACGCGCCCGCGACGUCCGAGGCGUUCCACGCCAGGCGCCGCCCCACGGCGUCACGGAACGCCACGAGCGCCCGCGCGUCGCUCGCGAGGUCGUCGGCCCCCGCCAGCGACGCGACGACGAGGAGCAUGGGGAACGCGAAACGGAUGCGCCGGAGCCGCCACGGCGGUGGCGAAGGCGACCGCAUCGCGGCGGCGGCUGAGGUGGCGAGAGCGGGCCCGGUCCGGAACGAGCCGAGGUUGAGAGUGGUCUCGUCCGUUUCUUCGUUUCUUGCGUCUGGCGUGCGGGGAGAGAAAAACCCUAAAACUCCCGUGCGCAUUUCGUGGAAUGGGCCUCGGGGAGUUUAGUAAAUUCGCGGGUGGGAGGUUGCGCCGCUCGGGGUGGUGGGGCCGGGCGAGAGGGAUGGGAAUGCGAGGCAACAAACAGAUGCCUGGGCCCUGGAGUGUGGAGGGGCUAGGUGGGAAUGCGGACGGAAACGAAUAAA